GUAGGGUGCAAGCGUUAAUCGGAAUUACUGGGCGUAAAGCGUGCGCAGGCGGCUUUGCAAGACAGAUGUGAAAUCCCCGGGCUCAACCUGGGAACUGCAUUUGUGACUGCAAGGCUAGAGUACGGUAGAGGGGGAUGGAAUUCCGCGUGUAGCAGUGAAAUGCGUAGAUAUGCGGAGGAACACCGAUGGCGAAGGCAAUCCCCUGGACCUGUACUGACGCUCAUGCACGAAAGCGUGGGGAGCAAACAGGAUUAGAUACCCUGGUAGUCCACGCCCUAAACGAUGCGAACUGGACGUUGGGAGCAACUAGGCUCUCAGUGUCGAAGCUAACGCGUUAAGUUCGCCGCCUGGGGAGUACGGUCGCAAGACUG
rnacentral:rRNA from 1 species